GACUGUUGGUUUAGUUAGAUGUAGGAACUGUGGGAUGGUAUGGCUUUGGUAGCGGGAAUAAAAUAUUGAUCAUUGAGGAGAGGGUGAAUAAGACGACUAUACAAGAUGAAUACCCAUCAUGGGUGAGGGAUGAAAAGCGCCAACGACUCUCAAUUUGGCAAAAGAUUUCAAAGAUUAGCAACUAGGGUUGUGAAACAUCGGAUUGUGAAGAAAAUAAGGUUUGUAAAAAAAGUUUCAAGAGACGCCCUAGAAUCAGUGCUCUGAUACCAUGUGAAAUUAGAGAUUUUGUUAAGAAGAAUAAUUCUCAGUUGUUAUUGAUAGAGCCAAAAGGCUAAGUAUUUAUAGAGAUAUUACAAGCUUAACUAGGAAAACUAGGUUACUUGAAGACUACUCCAAAUCAAUUACAAUCAACUAAUAAAAGGAAACUAAAUAACAAUUUAAUAACGUUCCUAAUUUCCAACAGUAAGGAGUUCAUUUGUUGAGUAAUAAGUAGUCGUUCCUAAAGUAAAUUGACUAAGAAACCUUUUUUACUAAUCCAACAAUACCUUUUACAGUACCAACGACAGUUUGCUUGACUCAAAAUCAUAGCUUUUUAAGUCAACGGAUGGAUGAUCCUCUCAUUUGGUCAUUUCCAUCCAUCCGACAGUUUGCUUGUUCACAACACCUCAUCAUUGAUGGCACUUGUGAGAGCAUCCGAUCCACAAACCUCCUCUGUUUCCAGUAUUUGUCGAUAUUGUCGUUAUCACGUGUUCCUGAGUUUCAGAGGCCAAGACACUCGCAAGACUUUCACUGACCACCUCUACACGGCCCUUGUCAAUGCUGGAUUUCGCACUUUCCGAGACGACGACGAAGUCGAGAGAGGAGAAGCUAUCAAGCCCGAACUGCAGAAAGCAAUCAAACACUCACGAACUUCUGUUAUUGUGUUCUCAAAAAACUACGCAUCGUCCAGAUGGUGCCUUGACGAGCUCGUCAUGAUCCUUGAACGGCUCUCAGCUGACCAUGUCGUUUUACCUGUCUUCUACGACGUGGAUCCAUCCGAUGUGCGGAACCAGACAGGAAGUCUUGCAAAGGCAUUUGCUAGACACCAAAAAACCCAACCGUCGAACAGAGUGAAGGAAUGGAGGAAGGCACUUGCAGAGGUUGCAGAUCUGGCAGGGAUGGUCUUACAAAAUCAAGCUGAUGGACACGAGUCAAAGUUUAUCAACAAGAUUGUUCAAGUGAUAGGAGAAAAACUAAGGCGUAGACCCCUAAGUGUUCCCCACAUCAUGAUCGGAAGGCAUUCUCGAAUCCACGAACUUAAUUUAUGGUUACAAGAUGGAUCAGAUGAUGUCGGCAUACUUGUAAUUUAUGGCAUGAGUGGAAUAGGGAAGACAACCAUUGCAAAGUAUGUUUAUAAUACAGACUUUGAAAGAUUUGAAGGAAGCAGCUUCAUCGAAAACAUUAGAGAAAUUUCACAGCAACCUAAUGGCCUAGUUCAAAUACAAACACAUCUUCUUUCUGAUAUUUUGUAUGGGAGAAAAGUAAAAAUACAGAGUGUUAGCAAGGGAAUGGCUGAGAUAGAAGAUGCGAUAAGCUCCAAAAAGGUUUUUCUUGUUCUCGACGAUGUGGAUCAUAUUAGCCAAUUAGAUGUGGUGCUUCGAAUGAAAGAUCAGUUUUAUCCAGGAAGUAAAAUCAUCAUAACAACUAGGCGCGCAGGAUUGUUAAAGGCUCAUCAAGAUACUAAGGUGCAUGCAGUUGAAACUUUGACUCAAGAAGAAUCAUUGGAGCUCUUCAGUUGGCACGCAUUUGGCCAAGACCAUCCCAUUGAAGAUUACAUAGAAUAUUCAGAAAAGCUAGUCGAUCAUUGCAGAGGACUUCCAUUAGCUCUUCAAGUUUUAGGUUCUUCGUUGUUGGGGGAAAGUAUAGGUGUAUGGAAAAGUGCAUUGGAGAAAUUAAAAGUCAUUCCAAAUGGUGACUAGCUUAAGAGUAAGUUAAGAGUAAGUUACGAUUCUUUGCAAGAUGACCAUGACAAAAAAUUAUUCCUCCACAUUGCUUGUUUCUUUAUCGGAAAGGACAAAGAUUACAUUGCUAAAAUACUGGAUGGAUGUGAUUUCUAUACAAUUGUUGGCAUUCAAAAUCUCAUCGAUAGAUGUUUGGUGAUUAUUAAUGGAUGGGACAAGGUGCAGAUGCACGACCUGAUUCGUGGAAUGGGAAGAGAAAUUGUUCGCCUAGAAUCAAAUGAGCCUUGGAAGCGUAGUAGAGUAUGGCAUCAUAAGGACUCUUUCAAAAUCUUGACGGAAAAGAAUGGUACGGAAAGAAUUGAAGGUCUUGUCCUCAACAUGCACAUGUGCCCUGCUAUAAAUUCAAAUGAGAAAGUCUUGGAAACCAAUGCAUUUUCAAGGAUGCGGGAACUAAAACUACUCCAUCUUAGUCAUGUACAACUUAACGGAUCUUAUGCAGAAUUUUGUACAGGACUAAUAUGGUUGUGUUGGACUAAGUUUCCUUUGGAUUCUAUACCCGUUGAUUUUCCUUUGGAAAGCGUUAUUAUUCUUGAAAUGCAAUACAGCGGUCUGAGACAAGUAUUCAAGGGAACAAAAAGACUAAAUCUAGGGAAUAAUCCAAUUAGUAGCCUACCAAAUUGUAUCAAAGGAUUAACAAGGCUCCAUAAACUCUCUUUUAACAAGUGUACAAGUCUCAAAUCGCUUCUCAGGGUACCAAAACUAUACGAUUUGGAUAUCACCGAAUGCAUAUCAUUGGAAAAAAUAACGUAUCAAUACCCCCGUUUAUCCUGGGAACGCUGUACCAGAUUGUGUUGCAACUACAACCUAGUUGAUUGGGAGUACAGGUACAAGUUACAACCCAUUGGAAGUGUAGAUGUAGAAAUGAUCAACCUCUUGGGAUUGUGCAACUUGUUGGAAUCCAUUGCACCCAUACGGAUGUACGCAUUAUACAGAAAUUUACAAGAGGAUGAUCCAAUUCCUAUCCAGGGACUGUACGAACGUGGUAUAUUCAGCACAUUUUUUGGUGGGAAUGAGGUUCCAGGCCAAUUCAGCCAUAAAAGCAGAGGGUCCUCAAUAUCUUUUACUGUGCCAUUACUUGAUAAUCACAGAACUCGAGGCUUGAUUGUCUUUGUUGUCUAUGUGAAUGCUGACUAUGAUUCUCCUAUUAUCCACCACAGUUAUUUGUCACAUAUAAUAGUAAAAAAUAAGAGCAACGGUCUGAGGGGGGCGUAUUGCCCAUCACACUACGGUAUUCCAGGUGAAGGAGAAGACAUGAUAUGGUUAAGCCACUGGAAUUUGGAUGAUCAGUUACAAGGGGGCGAUGAAGUGGUUGUUUCUGUAAUUAUGAUAUCUGGGCUUCUGGUAAAGGAGUUGGGCAUCCAACUUGUGCAGGUGCAACAAGAAGAGAAUCAUAAUAUGAUGAGUAUUUCCACAGAUUCUUCUUAUGAUGAUCGAAUAUGGUAUUAUAAGCUCCUUGGGGACUCUGAUGAAGAAGAUAGGAGAGACGAAGAAGAAGAGCAACAGGAUGAUAUCACAGUUACAACCACCACAGGCAGAAAUAACUCCGGCGUCCUCCGUGGCUGGAAGGUGCUCGUCACCGCAGCUUGCUUCUUUCUCACCCUUUCUCUAAUCACUCGGUCUUCUCUCUCAGGCAGAAAGAAGGGACCGUCCACAAGCCCUGGAUGAAUUUUUUGUACAUCUCAACAGCAGACUAUUUGUUUUUGCAUACAUCCAAUGUCAUUUCGUAGCAUCAAAUGCAUCUUCUUCAGAGAUAUUUUUAUUGACCCCAUUCGUUCAGUUUUAACAUAUCUUUGGGCUGGAAAACUGAAGUGGCCCAACCCAGAUUGUGAGAUUA